CCUACGGGUGGCAGCAGUGGGGAAUAUUGCACAAUGGUGGGAACCCUGAUGCAGCGACGCCGCGUGAGUGAAGAAGUAUUUCGGUAUGUAAAGCUCUAUCAGCAGGGAAGCAAAUGACGGUACCUGACUCAGAAGCCCCGGCUAACUACGUGCCAGCAGCCGUGGGAAUACGCAGGCGGCAAGCGUUAUCCGGAUUUACUGGGUGUAAAGGGAGCGUAGCCGGUUAUGCAAGUCUGAAGUGAAAGCCCAAGGCUCAACCAUGGGACUGCUUUGGAAACUGUAAAACUGGAGUGCAGGAGAGGUAAGCGGAAGUCGUGGUGUAGCGGUGAAAUGCAUAGAUAUUAGGAGGAACACCAGUGGCGAAGGCAGCUUGCUGGACUGUAACUGACGUUGAGGCUCGAAGGCGUGGGGAGCGAACAGGAUUAGAUACCCGAGUAGUC
rnacentral:rRNA from 1 species